GCGCAGGCGGUUUCGUAAGACAGAUGUGAAAUCCCCGGGCUUAACCUGGGAACUGCAUUUGUGACUGCGAGACUAGAGUGUGGCAGAGGGGGGUAGAAUUCCACGUGUAGCAGUGAAAUGCGUAGAGAUGUGGAGGAAUACCGAUGGCGAAGGCAGCCCCCUGGGCCAACACUGACGCUCAUGCACGAAAGCGUGGGGAGCAAACAGGAUUAGAUACCCUGGUAGUCCACGCCCUAAACGAUGUCAACUAGUUGUUGGGGAAGGAGACUUCCUUAGUAACGCAGCUAACGCGUGAAGUUGACCGCCUGGGGAGUACGGUCGCAAGAUUAAAACUCAAAGGAAUUGACGGGGACCCGCACAAGCGGUGGAUUAUGUGGAUUAAUUCGAUGCAACGCGAAAAACCUUACCUACCCUUGACAUGCCAGGAACUUUCCAGAGAUGGAUUGGUGCCCGAAGGGGAACCUGGACACAGGUGCUGCAUGGCUGUCGCCAGCUCGUGUCGUGAGAUGUUGGGUUAAGUCCCGCAACGAGCGCAACCCUUGCCAUUAAUUGCCAUCAUUCAGUUGGGCACUUUAAUGGGACUGCCGGUGAUAAACCGGAGGAAGGUGGGGAUGACGUCAAGUCCUCAUGGCCCUUAUGGGUAGGGCUUCACACGUAAUACAAUGGUCGGUACAGAGGGUUGCCAACCCGCGAGGGGGAGCUAAUCCCAGAAAGCCGAUCGUAGUCCGGAUUGUUCUCUGCAACUCGAGAGCAUGAAGUCGGAAUC
rnacentral:rRNA from 1 species